GACGAACGCUGGAGGCGUGCUUAACACAUGCAAGUCGAACGAUGAAAUGGAGCUUGCUCCAUGGAUUAGUGGCGAACGGGUGAGUAACACGUGAAUAACCUGCCCUUAAUUUUGGAAUAACCCAGGGAAACCUGGGCUAAUACCGGAUAAGUAAACCUGUGGCAUCACAUGGUUUUGGAAAGUUUUUCGAUUAAGGAUGGAUUCCCGGGCUAUCAGCUUGGUGGUGAGGUAAUGGCUCACCAAGGCGACGACGGGUAGCCGGCCUGAGAGGGUGAACGGCCACACUGGGACUGAGACACGGCCCAGACUCCUACGGGAGGCAGCAGUGGGGAAUAUUGCGCAAUGGACGAAAGUCUGACGCAGCGACGCCUCGUGAGGGACGAAGGUCUUCGGAUUGUAAACCUCUUUCAGCAGGGACGAAGCGAAAGUGACGGUACCUGCAGAAGAAGCACCGGCUAACUAUGUGCCAGCCGCCGCGGUAA
rnacentral:rRNA from 1 species